rnacentral:rRNA from 1 species
GACAAACGCUGGCGGCGUGCUUAACACAUGCAAGUCGAACGGAAAGGCCCUGCUUUUGUGGGGUGCUCGAGUGGCGAACGGGUGAGUAACACGUGAGUAACCUGCCCUUGACUUUGGGAUAACUUCAGGAAACUGGGGCUAAUACCGGAUAGGAGCUCCUGCUGCAUGGUGGGGGUUGGAAAGUUUCGGCGGUUGGGGAUGGACUCGCGGCUUAUCAGCUUGUUGGUGGGGUAGUGGCUUACCAAGGCUUUGACGGGUAGCCGGCCUGAGAGGGUGACCGGCCACAUUGGGACUGAGAUACGGCCCAGACUCCUACGGGAGGCAGCAGUGGGGAAUAUUGCACAAUGGGCGGAAGCCUGAUGCAGCAACGCCGCGUGCGGGAUGACGGCCUUCGGGUUGUAAACCGCUUUCGCCUGUGACGAAGCGUGAGUGACGGUAAUGGGUAAAGAAGCACCGGCUAACUACGUG